CAGAAUUUUCUUGGUUAGGCCACGUGCUUCAGGCUUUCAUUUGCGUUGAAAACUUUGUGGAAAGAUGGCACGUUGACUUGAAAAAAUUCGUCGACUGCAAAAACAAGAUGGCGACAUGCCAGGCAAGCUUCCAUUUUAUUGGACGUAAAAAUGCAUAAAAAGGUUGCGGACAUGAUUUGAUGACCUAAAUGAGGUUAUAUUGAAGACGAAUUAUCUUACAUGGUGCAAGAAUUUCGCGCCAGAGUGGAAAGGAAGGGCCCUUAUUGAUUGUAUUGAUAAUAGAAAUAAUUGUCUCAAUAAAAUGAUUUAAACAAUUACAAUA
rnacentral:sRNA from 1 species